rnacentral:rRNA from 1 species
CUUUACUGUAGCUUGGUAUUGUGCCCGGGCUCUGAAUGCGCAGGAUAGGUGGGAGACUAUGAAGCAAUCCUUGUGGGGAUUGUGGAGUCAACAGUGAGAUACCACUCUGUCAGAGCUAGAAUUCUAACCUUCACCCGUUAUCCGGGGAAGGAACCGUAUCAGGCGGGCAGUUUGACUGGGGCGGUCGCCUCCUAAAUGGUAACGGAGGCGCGCAAAGGUGUUCUCAGGCUGGUUGGAAAUCAGCCGCAGAGUGUAAAGGCAGAAGAACGCUUGACUGCGAGAGUGACAACUCGAGCAGGGUGGAAACACGGCCUUAGUGAUCCGACGGCUUGUGCGUGGAAAUGCCGUCGCUCAACGGAUAAAAGUUA